GUGGGGAAUUUUGGACAAUGGGCGCAAGCCUGAUCCAGCAAUGCCGCGUGCAGGAAGAAGGCCUUCGGGUUGUAAACUGCUUUUGUACGGAACGAAACGGUCCUGGCUAAUAUCCGGGGCUAAUGACGGUACCGUAAGAAUAAGCACCGGCUAACUACGUGCCAGCAGCCGCGGUAAUACGUAGGGUGCGAGCGUUAAUCGGAAUUACUGGGCGUAAAGCGGGCGCAGGCGGUGCUGUAAGACAGGCGUGAAAUCCCCGGGCUCAACCUGGGAAUUGCGCUUGUGACUGCAGUGCUGGAGUGCGGCAGAGGGGGAUGGAAUUCCGCGUGUAGCAGUGAAAUGCGUAGAUAUGCGGAGGAACACCGAUGGCGAAGGCAAUCCCCUGGGCCUGCACUGACGCUCAUGCACGAAAGCGUGGGGAGCAAACAGGAUUAGAUACCCCAGUAGUCC
rnacentral:rRNA from 1 species